rnacentral:rRNA from 1 species
GGAUGCGCGUCUAACUGCAGUCGAGCGAACCUUCGGGGUGAGCGGCGGACGGGUGAGUAACGCGUGGGUAACCUGCCCUGUACACACGGAUAACAUACCGAAAGGUAUGCUAAUACGAGAUAAAAUGUAAUGAUCGCAUGGUCGAUACAUCAAAGCUCCGGCGGUACAGGAUGGACCCGCGUCUGAUUAGCUAGUUGGUGAGGUAAUGGCUCACCAAGGCGACGAUCAGUAGCCGACCUGAGAGGGUGAUCGGCCACAUUGGAACUGAGACACGGUCCAAACUCCUACGGGAGGCAGCAGUGGGGAAUAUUGCACAAUGGGCGAAAGCCUGAUGCAGCAACGCCGCGUGAGCGAUGAAGGCCUUCGGGUCGUAAAGCUCUGUCCUCAAGGAAGAUAAUGACGGUACUUGAGGAGGAAGCCCCGGCUAACUACGUGCCAGCAGCCGCGGUAAUACGUAGGGGGCUAGCGUUAUCCGGAUUUACUGGGCGUAAAGGGUGCGUAGGCGGUCUUUCAAGUCAGGAGUGAAAGGCUACGGCUCAACCGUAGUAAGCUCUUGAAACUGUAAGACUUGAGUGCAGGAGAGGAGAGUGGAAUUCCUAGUGUAGCGGUGAAAUGCGUAGAUAUUAGGAGGAACACCAGUUGCGAAGGCGGCUCUCUGGACUGUAACUGACGCUGAGGCACGAAAGCGUGGGGAGCAAACAGGAUUAGAUACCCUGGUAGUCCACGCCGUAAACGAUGAGUACUAGCUGUCGGAGGUUACCCCCUUCGGUGGCGCAGCUAACGCAUUAAGUACUCCGCCUGGGAAGUACGCUCGCAAGAGUGAACUCAGAAAAUUUUUUUCCGGG